UACGUAGGGGGGCUAGCGUUAUCCGGAAUUACUGGGCGUAAAGGGUGCGUAGGUGGUUUCUUAAGUCAGAGGUGAAAGGCUACGGCUCAACCAUAGUAAGCCUUUGAAACUGGGAAACUUGAGUGCAGGAGAGGAGAGUGGAAUUCCUAGUGUAGCGGUGAAAUGCGUAGAUAUUAGGAGGAACACCAGUGGCGAAGGCGACUUUCUGGGCUGAGUAACUGACGCUGAGGAGCGAAAGCGUGGGGGAGCGAAACAGGAUU
rnacentral:rRNA from 1 species